rnacentral:ncRNA from 2 species
CAUCAUAUAGGGAAUGAGGUCUCCCGUGGAGGUAUCCAAAAUCGCUUAGUGCUGAUGACUUCUGAAAAAUC